UACGGAAGGCAGCAGUGGGGGAAUAUUGCACAAUGGGCGCAAGCCUGAUGCAGCCAUGCCGCGUGUAUGAAAAAGGCCUUCGGGUUGUAAAGUACUUUCAGUCGUGAGGAAGGUGUUAAGGUUAAUAACCUUAGCAAUUGACGUUAGCGACAGAAGAAGCACCGGCUAACUCCGUGCCAGCAGCCGCGGUAAUACGGAGGGUGCGAGCGUUAAUCGGAAUUACUGGGCGUAAAGGGCACGCAGGCGGUUAAUUAAGUUGGAUGUGAAAUCCCCGGGCUUAACCUGGGAAUGGCAUUCAAGACUGGUUAGCUAGAGUCUUGUAGAGGGGGUAGAAUUCCAUGUGUAGCGGUGAAAUGCGUAGAGAUGUGGAGGAAUACCGGUGGCGAAGGCGGCCCCGUGGACAAAGACUGACGCUCAUGUGCGAAAGCGUGGGGAGCAAACAGGGAUUAGAUACC
rnacentral:rRNA from 1 species